UACGUAGGUGGCAAGCGUUGUCCGGAUUUAUUGGGUUUAAAGGGUGCGUAGGCGGCUUUGUAAGUCAGUGGUGAAAUAUGGCAGCUUAACUGUCAGGGUGCCAUUGAUACUGCGGAGCUUGAGUACAGAUGAGGUAGGCGGAAUUGACGGUGUAGCGGUGAAAUGCUUAGAUAUCGUCAAGAACACCUAUAGCGAAGGCAGCUUACUAGGCUGUAACUGACGCUGAGGCACGAAAGUGUGGGGAGUCAAACAGG
rnacentral:rRNA from 1 species